rnacentral:rRNA from 1 species
UACGGAGGGUGCAAGCGUUAUCCGGAUUUACUGGGUUUAAAGGGUGCGUAGGUGGGUACGUAAGUCAGUGGUGAAAUCUUCGAGCUUAACUCGGAAACUGCCAUUGAUACUAUUUAUCUUGAAUACUUUGGAGGUAAGCGGAAUAUGUCAUGUAGCGGUGAAAUGCUUAGAUAUGACAUAGAACACCAAUUGCGAAGGCAGCUUACUACACAGUUAUUGACACUGAGGCACGAAAGCGUGGGGAUCAAACAGG